CAGGCACAGUCUGAGGGGCUUAUGUAAGUCUGAGGAGAGAGUGCCAGAGACUGAGAUCGUGGAAACGAUGGCAUCUCACUCUCAUUAAGCAGAGGACACUAGUGAGUCCAAGAGUCAUUGACCACUUACGGUGUUACAGCCACUUCUUCUAGCUGCAUAAUUUAAAAUGUAAAAUCUGGGAUCUCUAUAAUCCAGCUCAUUAGCAAGUGUGGCUCUCUGACCGUCAGAUCAACAACCACAUCUUCCUUUUGGGGAGAAAGGAAGAAAUGGGCAGAAGUGGACCUGAUGUAGGAAGAGGGUUUGAAGGCCAGGCCAGACCUAAACAGCUGACACCAAAUUGUAAAGCAGAAAUGAGGCCCUGCACGCACAACGGAUGCCUCAGGCUCCAAGCAUAUCGGAACAAGAGUUCUUCAGGCUUAAGCUGCAAAUAGGAACCAUCCUGUCCAUUUCCACAGUUCUUCACAUAGAAAUCACCCUCCCUUAAGAUGUACAACCUCUUCCACCAAGAGAUUUUUCUGAUAAUGAUCUAGUGCUGAGCCCUCUGGGAGGACACUAUCAUGUGUGUAAAGCUCAACCUCUUCACUAGCACCUGUUUCUUAAGGAAGUGUGUAUGUGUGUGGUGUUCCAGUGUCUCCCCAACCAUGUGGAAGUCUGGCAGAAACCACCUGUUCUAUCGAUGUCUGGCUCCAGAGCAAAGUUUCAUUGCUUUGAAAUAAAGUUAAAACCAGAACUAGUUUCACAAAGAAAUUA